rnacentral:tRNA from 1 species
CAGAUAGCUCAGUCGGUAGAGCAGGGGACUGAAAAUCCCCGUGUCGGUGGUUCGAUUCCGCCUCUGA